GCUGGCGGCAUGCCUAACACAUGCAAGUCGAACGGUAACAGGUCUUCGGAUGCUGACGAGUGGCGCACGGGUGAGUAACGCGUGGAUAUCUGCCUAUGAGUGGGGGACAACUUUCGGAAACGAAAGCUAAUACCGCAUAAUCUCUACGGAGCAAAGCAGGGGACCUUUCGGGGCCUUGUGCUUAUAGAUGAGUCCGCGUCAGAUUAGCUAGUUGGUGGGGUAAGAGCCUACCAAGGCGAUGAUCUGUAGCUGGUUUGAGAGGAUGAUCAGUCACACUGGAACUGAGACACGGUCCAGACUCCUACGGGAGGCAGCAGUGGGGAAUUUUGCACAAUGGGCGCAAGCCUGAUGCAGCGAUGCCGCGUGUGGGAAGAAGGCCUUUGGGUUGUAAACCACUUUCAAUUGGGAAGAAGGGAUGAGUAUUAAUAAUACUCUGACUUGACGGUACCUUUAGAAGAAGCACCGGCUAAUUUCGUGCCAGCAGCCGCGGUAAUACGAAAGGUGCAAGCGUUGUUCGGAUUUACUGGGCGUAAAGAGAUCGUAGGUGGUUUGUUAAGUUAGAUGUGAAAUCCCGGGGCUCAACCUCGGAACUGCAUCUAAAACUGGCAGACUUGAGUUCGGGAGGGGUAAGCGGAAUUCCGUGUGUAGCAGUGAAAUGCGUAGAUAUACGGAGGAACACCUGAGGCGAAGGCGGCUUACUGGACCGAUACUGACACUGAGGAUCGAAAGCGUGGGUAGCAAACAGGAUUAGAUACCCUGGUAGUCCACGCCCUAAACGAUGUCAACUAGCCGUUGCGGGUAUCGACCCCUGCAGUGGCGCAGCUAACGCGAUAAGUUGACCGCCUGGGGAGUACGGU
rnacentral:rRNA from 1 species